ensembl:misc_RNA Metazoa_SRP Metazoan signal recognition particle RNA
ACCGGGCACAUGCCUGUAGUCCCAGAUACUCGGGAGGCAAAGGAAGAAGGAUCCUUUGAGUCCAGGAAUUCUGGGCUGUAACAUGCUAUGCUGAUUGGGUGUCCGCACUAAGUUCAGCAUCAGUAUGGUGACCUCCCCAGAACAGGAGACCACCAGGUGGCCUAAAAAGGGGUAUACCAGCCCAUUUCAGGAAUGGAGCAGGUCAAAACUCCCAUGCUGAUCACUAGUGGGAUCGUGGCUGUGAAUAGCCACUGCUCUCCAGCCUGAGCAACACAGUGAGUGAGAAUGUGUCUCUU